rnacentral:rRNA from 1 species
GACGAACGCUGGCGGCGUGCUUAACACAUGCAAGUCGAACGGAGAGGCCCUGCUUUUGUGGGGUGCUCGAGUGGCGAACGGGUGAGUAACACGCGAGUAACCUGCCCCUGACUUUGGGAUAACUUCAGGAAACUGGGGCUAAUACCGGAUAGGAGCUCCUGCUGCAUGGUGGGGGUUGGAAAGUUUCGGCGGUUGGGGAUGGACUCGAGGCUUACGAGCUUGGUGGUGGGGUAGUGGCUUCCCAGGGCUUUAACGGAUAGACGACCUGUGAGGGUGACCAGCCACAUUGGGACUAAGAUACGGCGCAGACUCCUACGGGAGGCAGUAGUGGGAAAUAUUACGGAAUGGAGGGAAGUCUGAUGAAGCAACGGCGCGUGCGGGAUGACGGCCUUCGAGUUGUAAACCGCUUUUGCCUGUAACAAGGCGUGAGUGACGGUAAUGGAUAAAGAAGCACCGGCUAACUACGUG